GACGAACGCUGGCGGCGCGCCUAACACAUGCAAGUCGAACGAGCGAGAGAGAGCUUGCUUUCUCAAGCGAGUGGCGAACGGGUGAGUAACGCGUGAGGAACCUGCCUCAAAGAGGGGGACAACAGUUGGAAACGACUGCUAAUACCGCAUAAGCCCACAGGUCGGCAUCGACCAGAGGGAAAAGGAGCAAUCCGCUUUGAGAUGGCCUCGCGUCCGAUUAGCUAGUUGGUGAGGUAACGGCCCACCAAGGCAACGAGCGGUAGCCGGACGGAGAGGUUGAACGGCCACAUUGGGACUGAGACACGGCCCAGACUCCUACGGGAGGGAGCAGUGGGGAAUAUUGCACAAUGGGGGAAAACCUGAUGAAGCGACGCCGCGUGGAGGAAGAAGGUCGUCGGAUUGUAAACUCCUGUUGUUGAGGAAGAUAAUGACGGUACUCAACAAGGAAGAGACGGCUAACUACGUG
rnacentral:rRNA from 1 species